rnacentral:rRNA from 1 species
CCUACGGGAGGCUGCAGUAAGGAAUAUUGGUCAAUGGACGAAAGUCUGAACCAGCCAUGCCGCGUGGAGGAUGAAGGUCCUCUGGAUUGUAAACUUCUUUUCUAUGGGACGAAAAAAGGCUUUUCUAAGUCGUCUGACGGUACCAUAUGAAUAAGCACCGGCUAACUCCGUGCCAGCAGCCGCGGUAAUACGGAGGGUGCAAGCUUUAUCCGGAUUCACUGGGUCUAAGGGGGGUUGGGAAGUGAUGGGUGAAAUCCCCGAGCGUAACUUGGGAACUGCCAUUGAUACUAUCAGUCUUGAAUACCGUGGAGGUCAGCGGAAUAUGUCAUGUAGCGGUGAAAUGCUUAGAUAUGACAUAGAACACCAAUUGCGAAGGCAGCUGGCUACCCGAAUAUUGACACUGAGGCACGAAAGCGUGGGGAUCAAACAGGAUUAGAUACCCCAGUAGUC